GCCUUCAUGGUGUAAUGGUCAGCACGCUCGGCGCGUAUUCGAGAGGUCCGUGGUUCGAGUCCCGGCGAGGGCA
rnacentral:tRNA from 1 species